AAGUUCCAAGCAGCUCCUCCGUGAGAAAUCAUGCCAUUGCAUUACUUUCUUAGAUAUUGGGCACCAAUAUCCGUUUGCGAAGCUGGUGAAGGCGAGGGUUGUGCUCCUUCUUUGUUCUUCUGAAUUCCCUCUAAGGAUAUUUCCAUCGACUAGCAUCUCUUGGUUUCAAAAGAGGAAGAGACGUUUUUCUACUGCGUGAUUUUUGCAAUGCUUACAAGACUCCUCCUGAUGGAUUCUGAACGGCAAGCGGCCUUCUCCCUUGAGGCGAAUAGAGCUUUGCUUUGUAAAAGGGGAGCUGUCACCUAAACCUUUGGUGAGGCGUCGGGACAGACCAGGUAAGGGAGCAAAUGGAAACUUUUAUUAUAACCUCACAAUUCUCACAAUUCUCCCUGGAUAGGACCUAGCACUGAGUCUUCCGUGUGUUUUGCUGUUAUUGUUAAAAUUCAAAAGGAAGCCCGGUUACUAGAGAUUAAUGUACUAUCAUACCAUUCUGAAAAACAAAAAUUAUGUUAGCAGGUUUGUAGUAAAGGAUACAUUUGCAAAGCUUCUUUUCUAUUAUAUUCAUUUGAUUUCAUUUCCUUCUUUCCUCAUAUGCCUUUUUUGUUUUCCUGAUCGUUGUCCGAUAUGAAACUCAAUGAUCCCAGGCAGUGUUUUUUUCCUAUAAAACAAUUUUUUUAGGGAUACUCCCAUUUUCCUACUCAUAUUGAAAUACUGCCCCUCAAUGAGGCCACACUUAGACUCACAAAAUGUUUAGGGGUAUGCGUCCCCUUGCGUCCCUCCAGGAAAAAAGCACUGAUCCCAGGGCAUUGUUCCCUGAAAUUGUGUGGUGGCUGGUUGCCCUGAUACAAUACAAUAAAAAGGAGCUGAAACAAUGAGUAGAGAGUUACGCCUUUGAUCGCCUUUCCACAUUUGUUUCAUUUUCUAGUCGCCAGCCUGUUGACCCUGUUUUAUUUUAUGCCAAAUCCUCAAGGCCCCACUGAUGGGAAAAGAUACUUUCGGUUCUUGUAACACAGCUGCUGCCCUGCUGUAACCCCUAAACACUGCACAUGAUUUAAG